rnacentral:misc_RNA from 1 species
CGAUCGGGAUAGGUGUCCUCGAGAUAGUUCGCGAUCGCCCAUGAGUCGGCGACGGAGGUUUCGCCGUCGAUGAACACCGGCACCUUGUCGGACUGAUGCGGNNNNNNNCGUCCUUUUCGCUGAAGCGCCACGGGAUCGUUUCGGCCUUGAUAUCCUUGUGCGCCAGCGCCAUGCGCGUGCGCCAGCAGAACGGGCUGAACACACGCUCGGU